rnacentral:lncRNA from 1 species
GUGUUAAAGAAGUUUUAAUAAUUGUCUUCUCAUCAGAUAUUAGAAAUACAACUUACAUGUAAGUUAAUAAUUCUUGACCGUGAUCCAAUCAAAAUAUUAAAUUCUUCUUUAAUCUUUACAAUUUCAUAAGAAAAUAUAUAUAAAAAAAUAAAAACAAAUACAAACACACACGUUCACUCUUACUAUAUUUGUUCUUUUCUUUUCUUUUCUUCUUUUUUACAUACACAGUACAAAUUGUAAAAAUUCAACAACUAAACAAACAUUACAUCAAACACUUUAAAAAUUACAAAACAGACCCCCACAAAUCCUUUACAGUGCAGGGAAACCUUUUGGACCCGUAUGAACAGUGGUGGCGCGUCUUCCCACGCGCCACCGUCACUGGUGGCGCGUGGGUUCACGCGCCGCCGCACAAAACUUGGAAGCCGGGUGGAUCUGGUUCAGUUUCAUCUCCUCUUCCCUUCUCUGCUGGUGGUGACAACGCCGUUACCUGCAAAACAACCAAAACGCAACACAGGCAGUUGAUUUUAGUUUUCAUUUCCUUUGUUUUUCAAAUCUUCUUCGGUUUCUUCCUUUUUUAAAAAUAUGUCCCGUUUCUCUGCCUCCUCUGCAGAUCGGUCAUCUUCUUCUUCUUUCGGUGGCAGAUCCGCCGUGGAGGACCCAGCGUCGUGGGUGAGGAGGCGGCGUCGCUGUUAUGGGAAAGAGACGUCGCUGCAAGGCUGGCGGAGUUUGCUGCUGGAGACCGGUCUGCGGGUUAGGAGAUCGCCUUCUUCUCCUCUGUUUCGGGUGGCAGAUCAGGUCUGUGAGAGAGGAGCUGCUGCUGGGUCGUUGAUGACGGGUGGAAGAGAUGACUGGUCUUGGCUGGUCUGCGGCCGUUGCUGUUGAAGGAAACGAAGGUGAAGAAGAUGCUGCUACUGCUGGGGGAGGAACUGAGGAAAGGGGAAGAUCUGUGUGCAGAGGGGGCCGGUCUGUUUGGCUGAGAGCGACCAAUGGGAAGAUGACCGGAGCCAAAAUGGGGGUCGGUUCUUCUUUGAGAAGAUGAAAGGUUGGCUUUUCUCUUUGGCCGAGGGGUAGUGUCCCUUUGCUGGUGAGAGGGGAGGUUUCUGGAGAUGGUUUUUUUGGGUCAAAAGGAAAAGGAAAUCAGGGGCUCCCCAGCUGAAGGUUGUAGAUGAGAAUGAAAUGGGGUAACAGUCAUGGCUGAGAAGGGAUCGGUUUCGGCUGCGGUUUUGGAAGGAAAAUGGAGUGGGAGCAGAAUGGCUGCUCUGGUUUGGUUUCAAAGAGAGGGGGAGCAGCGGAGAGGGCAAGGAGAUGGUGUCGGUUUGAGAAAAGAAGAUGAUGGUGGAACCGGCUGCGAAAUUGGAGGCUUGUGCAGGCGGCUGAAGAGGAAAAAUCUGCAAAACCAAAGGAGAGAGGGGGGCGGCGGCUCUCCUUGAAAAAAAAUGGGUUUAGGUUUAGGUUUUUUUUGUAUUUUUUCUGAUGUUGUCAAAAUUGCCCCCCCUCCUUUUGUUUGAGUAUUGGACCAGUAUUUAUAGGUAAAAUGUUGCAUGGAUCUCAAAAUUGGUCCCUCAACUUUUUUUUUUUUUUUUGUAAAUUUGAUUUUUCUUAAUUUUUGUAUUUUUUGAAAACGAGCAAUAUCAACGUUGACUCAAUGAAGAAAAUCAAUGAUUUUAAAAAUAACACGUUAAAAGUUGAACGCGUUCCAAAUGUCUUUGAAAAUUUAAAUUCUUUUAAGACGAUGCUAAAAACGAUGCAAAUGUAUUAAAAAAUGUAUUUUUUGGAUUUUCAAUGUUUUUCGCUAUUUUUGGAUUUUUCUAAAAAUUUAUCAAAACAUGGGUCAAAAAUUGGGUAGCAACAGAUGCCCCCUCUUUACAAUGCUUACGAAGCAAAACUCCUCAAUGUUUCGCAUAGUAAGCUUUGUAAAGAAAAACUCUAAAUGUUUCUUUCUUUUUUUUUCGUUAACUUGAGAUCCCAUCUGGCGAUCUCCUUUUUCAAAACCAAAGAAUGUGUGUAGCUCGGUCAACCUGAAAUCCCAUCUGGCGAUUCCCUUUAACCAAAGCUACAUGAGAUCCCAUCUGGCGACCUCAUUCAACUUGAACUUAAAAAAAUGUGUGGUAGCUCGGUCAACCUGAAAUCCCAUCUGGCGAUUCCCUUUAACCAAAGCUACAUGAGAUCCCAUCUGGCGACCUCAUUCAAUUGGAACUAAAAAAUGUGUGGUAGCUCGGUCAACCUGAAAUCCCAUCUGGCGAUUCCCUUUAACCAAAGCUACAUGAGAUCCCAUCUGGCGACCUCAUUAAACCAAAACUAAAAGAUGUUACGUAACUCGGUUAACCUGAAAUCCCAUCUGGCGAUUCCCUUUAACCAAAGCUACAUGAGAUCCCAUCUGGCGACCUCAUUAAACCAAAACAAAGAAUGUGGAACAAAUGGUCUCAUUGUAUGGGUGACGAACCCCAGAAAAAUGGUGGUCUCAUUGUAUGGGUGACGAACCCCAGAAAAAUGGUGGUCUCAUUGUAUGGGUGACGAACCCCAGAAAAAUGGUGGUCUCAUUGUAUGGGUGACGAACCCCAGAAAAAUGAUGGUCUCAUUGUAUGGGUGACGAACCCCAGAAAAAUGGUGGUCUCAUUGUAUGGGUGACGAACCCAAGAAAAAAAUGAUGGUCUCAUUGUAUGGGUGACGAACCCAAGAAAAAAUGAUGGAAAACGGUCUCAUUAUGAUGGGUGACCUACCCAAACGGAAAGAAUGUGAAGUGCGGUCUCAUUAUAAUGGGUGACCUACCCAGGUGGAAGAUAGAAAAAAUGUGAAGUGGUCGCGUUAUAAUGGGUGACCUACCCAGGUGGAGGAUAGAAAAAAUGUGAAGUGGUCGCGUUAUAAUGGGUGACCUACCCAGAUGGACGAUAGAACAAAUAUGAAGUGGUCUCAUUGUUAUGGGUGACCUACCCAGGUGGAGGAUAGAAAAAAUAUGAUGUGGUCUCAUUGUAAUGGGUGACCUACCCAGAUGGAAGAUAGAAAAAUGUGAAGUGGUCUCAUUGUUAUGGGUGACCUACCCAGGUGGAAGAUAGAAAAAAUGUGAAGUGGUCUCAUUGUUAUGGGUGACCUACCCAGAUGGAAGAUAGAAAAAAUAUGAAAUGGUCUCAUUGUUAUGGGUGACCUACCCAGAUGGAAGAUAGAAAAAAUGUGAAGCGGUCUCAUUGUAAUGGGUGACCUACCCAGAUGGAAGAUGAGAAAAAUAUGAAGCGGUCUCAUUAUUAUGGGUGACCUACCCAUGUGGAGGAUAGAAAAAAUGUGAAAUGGUCUCAUUGUUAUGGGUGACCUACCCAAAUGAAAGAUGUGAUGUGACAAGUGUGAAAAAUGAGACUUACCUGGCGAAGUCCUGAAGGGAUGAUAGAAGAAAGGGCCAGAAAACUUGGUGCUUCUUGAUAAUUCUUGAUCGCAGGUUUGAAAAUUCGAUGCUUCCUGAUUGCAAGGGUUGAUCUUUUCAUUUCUUUGAGAUUUUCCUAACAGUAAGGUUUAUCUCAUCUNNNNNNNNNNNNNNNNNNNNNNNNNNNNNNNNNNNNNNNNNNNNNNNNNNNNNNNNNNNNNNNNNNNNNNNNNNNNNNNNNNNNNNNNNNNNNNNNNNNNNNNNNNNNNNNNNNNNNNNNNNNNNNNNNNNNNNNNNNNNNNNNNNNNNNNNNNNNNNNNNNNNNNNNNNNNNNNNNNNNNNNNNNNNNNNNNNNNNNNNNNNNNNNNNGCCUUUGUUUGCAUUCCAAAGCUUUAUUUGUCCUUCCCAUGUACUGACUCAUUCAUGUGCUAGUCAUCCACUCAUAUGUAAGUGCAGUGCCCAUCCUGGGUUGUCUUCGACGGUUACUGCUCUUGUUGUUUAUCAAGCUUGACUCUGCCCCCAAGUGCGGUGUUGCUUGAUUCAUCAUGAAGGAUUUUCUCUCCUGGAUUCUUCUGAAAAUUAUCUUUCGAUUGGUUGUGUGCAUCAUGCCAACACCCAUCAAGAUUGUUAAUCAGUCAUGAACUUGCCCCCAGUUGAAAUAAUACUCUUCAAGUAUAUGUUAUCACCAGUCUUCAUUGAAACUAUCCAAUCAUCCAGACAUGCAUCUCAUAGCUUGCAGUACCAAGGCUCAUGGUUGUAUGCUUAGUGUUAUUCUCAAUAGAUUCCCCUUAGCUCUUCUAAUCAGAUUGUGAAAAGAAAUGCAGUGGCAUCAUCAAUGAUGUUCAUUUUAUCACCUAUAUUCAUGCGAUGAAGUGCGCCUUCGAGCUUCAAAACAAGAUGGUCCCACAGUCAGUCUUGGUGAGUGCAUCCUUCCAAUAUUCAUUCAAAUACAACUAUGCGAUAACAUCGUUCAAAAGUCAUAGCCAUGUUGGAGAUGAUAAUAUGACGAUAUAAAGAUGUCCUUUAGAUGCAUCUUUGGUACACCGUCCGUCUUGGUGGUGUGCAUAUGUUAGAUGUUCAUUCAAAUGCACUCACUUGAUAACAUCUGUUAGGAGUCAUAGCCAUGUUUUAGAGGGUAACCCAAGCUGAUGAUAAUGAAAUGCCUUUCAAGUGCAGCGUUGUUUUCAAUUGUUGCUGGAGUUCACUAGAUCAUAGAAUGUUUUUGAACAAUAUUGCCCCCGGUGUGAUCUGAAUGUGCUCUGUCGGUGAUUAUCUUUCUUUGAACACCAUUGUCUUCAGUACACUGAUUCAUCAUUUAAUCAUCUUUCAUUGCCCCCAGCUGAUCUGAAUACUAUUUGUUUUCCUACCCAUGAUCCACUAUGUUGCCUCUAGGUGGUCAACUUUUCAAGGAGUGUCGAGAAAUGUUGAUGUCAUUCUUGUCAAGGAUUUUGCAAAUUCGGUCGAUGUUCUUGUUGUUUAACAAUCUUUCUUGUUUUGGAAUCAACUCUCAUAUUUCAAAGAUCAUGUCAAUUCAAGUCUAAUUGUUGAAAUGAAAUCAGAGAGAUAUCUAUUUUGGAAAAGAUCUUUUAAAUAUCGUGCUUUUUGGUCAAAGACCCAACACACAUCAUUCAAUGUAAUCCUUUGAUUGUCUUGUAUUUUGAAAACAGAAAUGACCCAUUGUAAGUUUAAAAUGACUUUUUUCCAUGGUUCUUUAUGUCAGUUUUAAUCUUUGAUCUUGGGUAUAUCUUUUCACGGUCUGCAAUGAGGUGACCUUCUGUGAAUUUCAAGAAACAAAAGGCUCAAGUCAAAACUUGAGGAUUCAUCAAGAAAGAUUGUUUUCUUUUUUUAGCACCAAUUUUAUCAGCAUGCAUAAUAACCAGUAGCUUAAUCCAUGAAGUCACGACCCUUAUGGAACAACUCUUCAAUUUUUGAGAUCGCCAUUUAUCGGUUCAGAUUGCUUACUUGAUUAAAAAGGGCUUUUAAAAGCACGUAAUGUAGGCUAUGGUUCAUGGCUAUGAAAGAAAGGGAUUUCACAAGCUCAAAAGGUGUUUGAGGGUUUCAAAGACCUAGGAUCAACAUCAAACUAUUCAUCAACUCUUUUUCUAUUGUUGUCUUUGUAGAGGAAAUGACAUAUAACCUUAUUAACCUUAAAUAUCAGAAUUCUCUUAACAUAGGUUAUAUGCAAAUCCAACUUUUUCUUUGAUGAAUAACCAAUCUCAAUCUCUUUGAAGACAUUAGAGGCUUUAUCCUAGACAUACCAAAAGACAUGAAGCUCAAAUUUUUUUUUUUUUUUACUUUUGGCAUUUACUGUGUCUUUCUUUAAUUGAAACCUUUUUUGCCCCUCUUAGAAUUGAUAGGCAUCCUCCUUCCAUUCCACUCUUUCUUUUUUUUUCUUUUUUUUUUCUUUUUUUUACAUAGUCUUCCUCAAAGAUUUCUUGGAUGGCCCUCAAUCUAUGGCUUUUUCCUUCUAGCCCUUUCCUAAUCAUUGGACUUUUGUUCUAAGCCUUUCCUUUAUCCAUUAAUCCUAUCACUGUCUUUAAAAUAUCUCUCAUUUGCCCCCAGUGUGGGGUGUGAUCCUAGUCGGGGUUUUUUAUGAAAGGAAUAUUCUAUCCAGCUCAAAAUGGGACUCAAGAGAUAUAAUCUUUAGAAAGUGAAGGGAUAUCAAAGAUGGCCUUUUCUCAUUUCAAGCAAUGGUCGGUUAGAACCGAUAAAUUUUGACCUCGUCCAGUGUAAUGAUUUGGACUUGUAAGAAUCAUGAUUCACGAGUCCAUAACUAUUGAAUCCACUACAUGUCAUUAUGCAUACUGCUAAAACUAGCUAUAUGAUGUGUGGUUCAGUUUCAGGAGGUAUCAGUUCAAAAUUGUUUGGUCACCUCAUGUCAUUUUCAAGCAUCAAGUCAUUUCUGCAAUCAAAACACUUUUAAUGUUCAUGAUUAAACUUUGCAUGUUGGAGUUUGAUCAAACAUAUUUUGUCAAAAUACCCUUUGAAAGAAGCAUCUCUUGAUUUCAAAACAACAGGAAGACAAAGGAAAGACAUGUUUUGUUCAAGGAUGAGAUGUGACCCCAAAACAAAAUGCAAGAUGGCAAAAUCCAUAACAAAAAUGAUUGACAGUUUAACCCCUUCUUAGAUCAGCCUCUUUGGCAAUAUCUCUGUUUUGCCAAGCAAUUCCGAUCACUCGUCAUUCUGAGGAUGUUCUGGCGAUAAAAUGAUCGAUGACAAGCUCCUUCCCAGAUUCCUCUCGUCUUUUGCUCACCAACUUCCGGACUCGAUUCUUGCAAUUGUUCAAUUGAAAUGGCUGAGGACCCCACCAUGACAUCACAUCUCUUGUCUGGAUUAUACCACCUACAAAAUGGUGGUUGCAUGGGUUUUGUUGGAGUCAGGCAUUAAGUCUGGAAUCUGGCAGAUGCUAGUAAAUAAACCCACAUGGCAAAGGAAUGUCUAUCUUUGGCAAAGACAUUGAAGUAGUUGGUGCUUUGUGAGACUUGACUAAACCACAUAACUAUGGUUUCCCGUCUUCAGAGUCAUCUCCUGAUUCAUCUCUUCACAGUUCUGGAAUCCAUGGCAGAUCCUUCAAUCUUUCACUUCUUCAUAGCUCGCUCAAUUCUUUCGAUGAUCUUCACAACAUCAUGUCAUUCUUCCAAUGUUGUUGUGGUUUGUUGAGGGUUGUUGGAAAACUUCCACCAGCGAGGUAAUCUUGCCAGCGCAUAGAAUCAUGCAGCGCUAUCAAUGUCAAUGUGUUAAAUGAUGCAUUGUUUUUUUGGAGGAGAAACUGCUGAAUAUGAAACUCCUUUGUCUCCUCUUCGAUCCCUCCCUGACAGUGCAGCAAACAAACACCUGUAGAGGGAGCUCUGCUCUGUUGAAGUUUCAAUCUUCUUUCUAUUUUUCAGCCGAGGUUUCUCUCUUUUCCCUUCUUUUGCAUUUUCAAGCUAACACCGAUGAGAGAAAAUUAUAGAUGAUCAGAAACUACUGCAUUCCUUCUUGAAUUUUCCACUUGCAGAUCCACAAACAGAUUCCUGUCGAGAGAGCUCUGCUAUAUUGAAGUUUGAUGUUUGCCCUGUUUUCUAGCUCAGGUCUGGCUCUUCGGCCUACUCCAGUGUUUUAGUGCUGAAACUAAUGAGACAACGUUUUAUAGCAUAUGAAAAUACUGCAUCCCCUCUUGCAUGCCCCAUUGGCAGAUCCCCAAACAAAUCUCUACAGAGAGAGCUCUGCAACGUAGAAGUUUAAUGUCUGUUCAUGUUUUUCAGACCAGGUUUGGCUCUUCAACCUACCACAAUGUCUUUGUGCUGAAACUGAUGAGAGAUUUUUAUAGCAUAUGCAACUAAUAAAUCCCCUCUUACAUUCCCAACUUAAAGAGCCAUAAACAGAUUUUUGUAGAGAGAGCUCUGCCACAUUGAAGUUUGAUGACUGCUAACAUUUUCAGACCAGGUCUCACUCUUCUGCCCACUACCAUGUUUUGCUGGUGCCACUGGUGGGAGAAAGUUUCAAAGCGUAUGAAACUACUACACCCCCUCUUGCAUUCCCCACUGGCAGAUCCACAAAAAAAUCUCUACAGAAAGAGCUCUGCAACGUAGAAGUUCAGUGUCUAAUCAUGAUUUUUUUUUUUACAUCUUGUGCUGCUGAACUGAAAUUGAGCUAACAGUUGGGGUAACGUCAAGGAAGGCUAACACACCGUGCACAGAAGGCUAGCAGUUAUUUGGUGCCAUUGAAAGAUGUGUAGGCGAUGAACAAUUAACAGGGCAAUUGACCGAGAACAAAAGUUGUCAUUGGUUAUGACUGAAGCCAUUGUUGUUGUUCAUGACUGAAAAGAAGGUGCAGCUUCAAUGGGACGUGGACGAGCGGUGUUCUCACAGAAAACUGUGCAGACAUUCCCUUUCCAUUUGAUGCUCUACACUUGUUCAGGCAGAUCUGAGCCUAGCUACUUCCUCUUUGAUGCUCUCAAUUUUCUUUUGACUCUGUGCCUCUCUCUGACAUCUUUCUUCAUUUCCAUCGUCUUUUUUUCAAUCACGUGGAGCACAGCUUGUGUGGGGGAACCUAUCUUUUAACCCGGUACAUGCAUGAUAAAUGUAUGAACAUGUAAACUAUAUGAAGAACUCGCCCUUCGAGGGGUGACAAUAUGGUCGUAACUCUCGUAUGAUGAAACAAAAAUCUUGAUUCUUGCCCAAACUCUACAAUGAAAAUUUUCUGAGUGACGGCCAUUGGGUCACCCACAAGUCUUCAGUUCAAGAUGCUUCAAGAAGGGUUUGCCCUUAUGCAGAACAAUGUAUACGGAGCACACAUUCUAAAGGCAGGUUCUAUUCACUAUGUGAAAAUGGGUAGGUUCUCUACCUGGUCUCAAAAGGGUCUCAUAUCUGCCCAGUGACGUUCUUCGUAAAGACAGUAUGGGGGCGUUGCAAGGAAUAGUUAAGGUACGUCUACCCACCAUUACCAAGCAGGCACUCAGAUAUGAGUUCGGUUUUUCACGCAUCUGAACCCUGACCAAUAGUCAUAGGGCAGAUCGCUAAUUCACCACCUAACUUAGAAGCUUGUGUGUGCUUUAAAAAUAAAUACAGGUGAUGCAUGAAACAAUUCUAAAAAUGCAUGGAUAAAACAAAAAUAAAACAAGACAAAAAUGCAAAAACUUAAACACAUCAAAUACACAAAGCUUAGUCCAAUAUUGUCAGAAACAGUACCUUCCCCAGUGGAGUCACCAUUCUGUCGCACGUCAAAAAAAUCCGCGCGGCGUCGGCUGGCGAUUUUUCAUUUGUUAUGUUUUGAUUUGAUUGGUUCGUUGGAGUCGCCACCUAGUAUUUAAUUGAGGGUUACUAGGGAACCCAGAUGUACUGGUCUUGUCAGAGAUUCACGGGUAAGGGACUGGUUGUGGUUAGGGAAGGUAUUAGCACCCCUAACACACCCUACCUGAGGUAAGCUGCUUCGUGACUUUGAUGUGUUAAAGAAGUUUUAAUAAUUGUCUUCUCAUCAGAUAUUAGAAAUACAACUUACAUGUAAGUUAAUAAUUCUUGACCGUGAUCCAAUCAAAAUAUUAAAUUCUUCUUUAAUCUUUACAAUUUCAUAAGAAAAUAUAUAUAAAAAAAUAAAAACAAAUACAAACACACACGUUCACUCUUACUAUAUUUGUUCUUUUCUUUUCUUUUCUUCUUUUUUACAUACACAGUACAAAUUGUAAAAAUUCAACAACUAAACAAACAUUACAUCAAACACUUUAAAAAUUACAAAACAGACCCCCACAAAUCCUUUACAGUGCAGGGAAACCUUUUGGACCCGUAUGAACAGUGGUGGCGCGUCUUCCCACGCGCCACCGUCACUGGUGGCGCGUGGGUUCACGCGCCGCCGCACAAAACUUGGAAGCCGGGUGGAUCUGGUUCAGUUUCAUCUCCUCUUCCCUUCUCUGCUGGUGGUGACAACGCCGUUACCUGCAAAACAACCAAAACGCAACACAGGCAGUUGAUUUUAGUUUUCAUUUCCUUUGUUUUUCAAAUCUUCUUCGGUUUCUUCCUUUUUUAAAAAUAUGUCCCGUUUCUCUGCCUCCUCUGCAGAUCGGUCAUCUUCUUCUUCUUUCGGUGGCAGAUCCGCCGUGGAGGACCCAGCGUCGUGGGUGAGGAGGCGGCGUCGCUGUUAUGGGAAAGAGACGUCGCUGCAAGGCUGGCGGAGUUUGCUGCUGGAGACCGGUCUGCGGGUUAGGAGAUCGCCUUCUUCUCCUCUGUUUCGGGUGGCAGAUCAGGUCUGUGAGAGAGGAGCUGCUGCUGGGUCGUUGAUGACGGGUGGAAGAGAUGACUGGUCUUGGCUGGUCUGCGGCCGUUGCUGUUGAAGGAAACGAAGGUGAAGAAGAUGCUGCUACUGCUGGGGGAGGAACUGAGGAAAGGGGAAGAUCUGUGUGCAGAGGGGGCCGGUCUGUUUGGCUGAGAGCGACCAAUGGGAAGAUGACCGGAGCCAAAAUGGGGGUCGGUUCUUCUUUGAGAAGAUGAAAGGUUGGCUUUUCUCUUUGGCCGAGGGGUAGUGUCCCUUUGCUGGUGAGAGGGGAGGUUUCUGGAGAUGGUUUUUUUGGGUCAAAAGGAAAAGGAAAUCAGGGGCUCCCCAGCUGAAGGUUGUAGAUGAGAAUGAAAUGGGGUAACAGUCAUGGCUGAGAAGGGAUCGGUUUCGGCUGCGGUUUUGGAAGGAAAAUGGAGUGGGAGCAGAAUGGCUGCUCUGGUUUGGUUUCAAAGAGAGGGGGAGCAGCGGAGAGGGCAAGGAGAUGGUGUCGGUUUGAGAAAAGAAGAUGAUGGUGGAACCGGCUGCGAAAUUGGAGGCUUGUGCAGGCGGCUGAAGAGGAAAAAUCUGCAAAACCAAAGGAGAGAGGGGGGCGGCGGCUCUCCUUGAAAAAAAAUGGGUUUAGGUUUAGGUUUUUUUUGUAUUUUUUCUGAUGUUGUCAAAAUUGCCCCCCCUCCUUUUGUUUGAGUAUUGGACCAGUAUUUAUAGGUAAAAUGUUGCAUGGAUCUCAAAAUUGGUCCCUCAAC